UACGUAGGGCGCAAGCGUUGUCCGGAAUUAUUGGGCGUAAAGAGCUCGUAGGCGGUUUGUCGCGUCUGGUGUGAAAACUCGAGGCUCAACCUCGAGCUUGCAUCGGGUACGGGCAGACUAGAGUGCGGUAGGGGAGACUGGAAUUCCUGGUGUAGCGGUGGAAUGCGCAGAUAUCAGGAGGAACACCGAUGGCGAAGGCAGAUCUCUGGGCCGUAACUGACGCUGAGGAGCGAAAGCAUGGGGAGCGAACAGG
rnacentral:rRNA from 1 species